rnacentral:lncRNA from 1 species
AGCAGCCCAGCUUUGGUGCCCUCUCCCACAACAACACUCAUCACUCUCCCUCUGCUCCCUGAGAAUUACCGUGGCACUCUGGGAUUUUAAUGCUGCCUGCCAGGGCUAUGGGGGACUAAACACUCUGCUCAGGAAGUCAAUGUUCCUGGCUAGAUGUUUAUGCUUGUGGAAAUUGUUUUCAUUUUUUCCCUUCUGUUAAGUAUAUGAUUUGAAUCUCAAACUCCCCGUUCCUGAUGUGAUGGGGAUUGUUUUUUCAUUCCAGAGGGAUUGUUUUUUUUCAUCCACCAGGGAAAUUCUCUAAAGGGGACAUUUUCCAUUAAAAUGUUUCUUCUGAGGGUUCUCUCUGGCGCGAGUAAUGUACUCAUGUUUUCCAAUGACAGUGGUAGUUUUACGAUGCGUUUACCCUUUAAUGGUAUGGAAUGAAUGUUUUCACUGAUGCUGCGCUGAAUCACAGAGCUCUGUCACUGCCCUUUCUCUCGCUUUCUUUUGUUCUUUCACUUUACAAUGUGCCUUAUUCCAACACGAUAGCCUGAACUACAGUAACAUAUUCCUUUAGUCCACAUACACUGCGUGUACAAUACAUUAAGGACACCUGCUCUUUCCUUGACUUAGCUUUCACCUGGUCAGUCUAUGAUCCCUUAUUGAUGUCACCUGUUAAAUCCACUUCAAUGUAGAUGAAGGGGAGGAGACGGGUUAAAGAAGUAUUUUUUUUUUAAGCCUUGAGACAAUUGAGACUUGGAUAGUGUAUGUGUGCCACCCAGAGGGUGAAUGGGCAAGACAAGAUUUAAGUGCCUUUGAACAGGGUAUGGUUGUAGGUGCAAGGUGUACCGGUUUGUCAAGAAAUGCAAAGGACAUCCAGCCAACUUGACACACCUGUGGAAAGCAUUAGUCAACAUGGGCCUGCAUCCUUGUAGAGCACUUUCGACACCUUGUAGUGUCCAUGCCCCUACGAGGUUGUUUUUAGGGCAAAGGGGGGUGCGCAACUCAAUAUUAGGAAGGUGUCCUUAAUGUUUUGUCUACACAGUGUAUUGUCCUACUGUCAAAAAACAAACUAGGUUAUUUUAGCGUUAUACAUUUAACACGUUGCCUUAUGUUAUAGGUAUUUGAAAUACAAUGUAUUCAUAUUUUUAAUAUAGUGCUCUAUCAAAGGAUUUCACUAUUAAUCAGUGGAUUCUUUAAAAGUGGAGUGCACUGUGCCACAAAACAUUGGUGUGUAGGCUACACCUUUAACAUCACAUGGAUAUUUAUUUUGUUCAGGAUUUGUCUCCUUCAUACAUCGCCUUUCCAGUUUUCACCUCAAUAUUUCAUGAACCUUUCAUUCAUUCCACGCGUUGACUGCUGGAUACAGGAGUUAAGGCUGAGGGAUUUCAGGCUGAUCCUUCUACAAUUUUAAGGGAUUUCCUCUUGGGUUUCCUGUCAAUGUGCUGAAGGUGGAAUUGAACUCGUAUUUCAAUAUCAUUUUAUAAUAAAUAAAUCAGCCUUUUUCAUCAGAUCUAUUGUUUUGCUC